rnacentral:rRNA from 1 species
AUUGAACGCUGGCGGCAGGCCUAAUACAUGCAAGUCGAACGAGUGGCGGACAGGUGAGAAAUGUCUGGGAAACUGUCCGUUGGAGGGGGAUAACUACUGGAAACGGUAGCUAAUAACGCAUACCAUCGGAUGUGCCCAGAUGGGGUUAGCUUGUAGGUGGGGUAACGGGUCACCUAGGCGACGAUCCCCAGCUGGUCUGAGCGGAUGAUCAGCCACAUGGGAACUGAGACACGGUCCAGACUCCUACGGGAGGGAGCAGUGGGGAAUAUUGGACAAUGGGCGCAAGCCUGAGGCAGCCAGGCCGCGGGUAGGAAGAAGGCUUUCGGGUUUUAAAGUACUUUCAGCGGGGAGGCGGUACCCGCAGAAGAAGCACCGGCUAACUCCGUGCCAGCAGCCGCGGUAAUAC